AAGGAGGGCACAGUCAACAGAUUGGCAAAUAAAGCGAACGUGCCGUGACUUGAUAGGCCCAUCGUGGUACCCAGGCACAGUGCAGAACCAGGCCCCUCCAGGCAUCUCUGUGGGGUCAUCGUUACCUCGUGCCCAGGUCUUGUGCAGGUCUCCGCAGCCACAUGAACUCAUGAGUACAAUGGCCAUGUCAUGUCCAGAAGACAGCGACUCAACAAGAAAUAAACAAUGGAGAAAAGGCACCAGGAGUGUGGAGAUCUCAGGACAGCUAAUCUUCAUUGUCAGCUUGAUUGGAUUAAUAACCCUAUAGGACUUCAGUGAGACGCCCUGUGUUUGAACAACUACCUCACGUUCCUGCUACCGUGGAGAACCCUCCGACUGCGGUCUGAAACCAACCCUUCCUUCCUUGACUUACGCUUGUCUGCUGUGUUGUCCCAGAAACUGAAAACAACCAGGGCAGAGUAGGUGUGGAGGUGCAGACUCACUUUUGUGUGCUCAGAUGGUAAUCGCUGUAGAACAACAGGUCGAGGAAAAACAAUGACCCUCACUGAAUCGCUUCCACCCCUACCAAGAUUCGAUCCUCAGGUUAUCUGCAUCCACCACUGUGCUGAAUGAAACACCUGACAGAAGAGACCUGAAGAAGGAAGGACGUGUCCCAGCUCAUGUCUGAGAGGUUGGGACCCAUCACGUCAGGAAAGCAUGGUAGAGUCGAUAGUGGUUGAUAAUUGUGGCUAAGACUCUUUACAUAUGGUGGGGCAGGAAUCAGGGAAGUCUAGACAGAGUGCGCCGAGCUGUAAUUCGUUUUCUUUCCAUUAGCCAGACUCCACCUCUAAGAAGUUUCUUGACCUCUCAAAACGGCUGGAGUCCUCCUCAGCCAGAGACUGAGUGCUACACUUUCUAGUCAGACCACAACAAACAGUGUUUUUCCUGUCAGUUUCUGUCUAUUUGCUGAAAACUCACACCGUCUUGAUUUCUGCAGCUUUACAGUGAAUCUUGA